UACGUAGGGUGCAAGCGUUAAUCGGAAUUACUGGGCGUAAAGCGUGCGCAGGCGGUUUUUGUAAGUCAGAUGUGAAAUCCCCGGGCUUAACCUGGGAACUGCGUUUGAAACUACAAGGCUAGAGUGUGACAGAGGGGGGUGGAAUUCCACGUGUAGCAGUGAAAUGCGUAGAGAUGUGGAGGAACACCGAUGGCGAAGGCAGCCCCCUGGGUUAACACUGACGCUCAGGCACGAAAGCGUGGGGAGCAAACAGG
rnacentral:rRNA from 1 species